AACGGUGAUCAUAUCGCAAAGGUCCACCUGUUCUCAUUCCGAACACAGAAGUUAAGCUUUGCAGAGUCGAAAAUACUUGCUUGGAGACGAGCCGGGAAAAUAGAACGUUGCCGUUU
rnacentral:rRNA from 1 species